rnacentral:rRNA from 1 species
ACACACGUGCUACAAUGGCGUAACAAAGGGAAGCGAACCCGUNAGGGGGAGCAAAUCCCAAAAAUAACGUCCCAGUUCGGACUGUAGUCUGCAACCCGACUACACGAAGCUGGAAUCGCUAGUAAUCGCGAAUCAGAAUGUCGCGGUGAAUACGUUCCCGGGUCUUGUACACACCGCCCGUCACACCAUGGAAGUUGGGGGCGCCCGAAGUUGCCUAAGAAAUAAGGUACCUAAGGCGAAACCAAUGACUGGGGUGAAGUCGUAACAAGGUAUC